rnacentral:rRNA from 1 species
UACGGAGGAUCCGAGCGUUAUCCGGAUUUAUUGGGUUUAAAGGGUGCGUAGGCGGUUUGAUAAGUUAGAGGUGAAAUGUCAGGGCUCAACCCCGAAACUGCCUCUAAUACUGUUGGACUAGAGAAUAGUUGCGGUAGGCGGAGUGUAUGGUGUAGCGGUGAAAUGCUUAGAGAUCAUACAGAACACCGAUUGCGAAGGCAGCUUACCAAACUAUAUCUGACGUUGAGGCACGAAAGCGUGGGUAGCAAACAGG